GAUGAAGAACGCAGCGAAAUGCGAUAAGUAAUGUGAAUUGCAGAAUUCAGUGAAUCAUCGAGUCUUUGAACGCACAUUGCGCCCCCUGGUAUUCCGGGGGGCAUGCCUGUUCGAGCGUCAUUGCUGCCCUCAAGCACGGCUUGUGUGUUGGGCCCCCGCCCCCCGGCUUCGGGGGGCGGGCCCGAAAGGCAGCGGCGGCACCGCGUCCGGUCCUCGAGCGUAUGGGGCUUCGUCACCCGCUCUGUAGGCCCGGCCGGCGCCCGCCGGCGACCCCAAUCAAUCUUUCCAGGUUGACCUCGGAUCAGGUAGGGAUACCCGCUGAACUUAAGCAUAUCAAUAAGCGGAGGA
rnacentral:misc_RNA from 1 species